rnacentral:rRNA from 1 species
UAGGGAAUCUUCGGCAAUGGACGAAAGUCGGACCGAGCAACGCCGCGUGAGUGAAGAAGGUUUUCGGAUCGUAAAACUCUGUUGUUAGAGAAGAACAAGGACGUUAGUAACUGAACGUCCCCUGACGGUAUCUAACCAGAAAGCCACGGCUAACUACGUGCCAGCAGCAGCGGUAAUACGUAGGUGGCAAGCGUUGUCCGGAGUGAUUGGGCGUAAAGCGAGCGCAGGCGGUUUCUUAAGUCUGAUGUGAAAGCCCCCGGCUCAACCGGGGAGGGUCAUUGACAACUGGGAUACUUGAGUGCAGAAGAGGAGGGUGGAAUUCCUUGUGUAGCGGUGAACUGCGUAGAUAUAUGGAGGAACACCAGUGGCGACGUCGGCUCUCUGGUCUGUAGCUGACGCUGAGGCUCGAAAGCGUGGGGAGCAAACAGG